AUAUCAGACAUUGUGGCUCAAAACCAAUGGCUCUGUUUUUGAUUGGUUCCCCAGCUGUUAAGGCUUUCUCAUUUACUUUUCAAGUCUUUUUUAUUUUUUUCCUUCCACUGAAUUUUCUACUCCUUUUGACGUCAGGUUUUUUUCUAGUUGUUAUUCUUUCCCUUUUAGGUUUCUUUCUUCUUCUUUUAAAUUAUUUUCAUUUAUAGUUCCUCUGCUGUACUCUGCUCCCACUCACAGCUCCUCCUCAUAACUAGUCCUCUGUCAUCUCUCACUCGUCAGCGUAUACGGUUCAGUUUCAGUCAUACUCUGCUGGUUUCAGCGUCCUAGCUACCUGAUUUUUGGCAUUAAAAUACUUUUGAGUUUUACACUUUUGUGUUUUGGAUCCUUUCCAAAGCCGACAGUAUUAGGAAAAUAAAAAUAAGAUACGUUAAAUGACUAGUAUGUGGCAAUAUAUAAGCCUUAUAUGAAAUAUUAGACUGAAAAAAUACAAUAGAUUUAUUCUAUUGUAGAGAGGAAUGUUUAUUUUCUCGUUGUUUUGCUGCCCCUCCUCCUCUCCCAGCUAGGGAGAGGAGGAGGGACUCCCUGCUAUCACAGCGCUUCAUUGCCUUGCUGCCAACCCUCCGUACCCGGCAGCGACAACGGUCGUGUGAGUUUGAAAAGUCUGCUGAAGAAGAGCGGAUGAAAUUGUCUGAGAAUAUUCCAGAAUGUCUACCAGAAAAAGGCCAAUGUUACUUACUUACUGCCCUGCAUGACUAAAGGGGAAGCAGCGUGAGCUCUGCAUAGAGCGUAAUGCUGCGGCAAUUUUUAUUUUUAUUUUUAUUUUUUCAGGUUAACUUUUCAAUACGAGGCCACGAGGCACACAGUAAACUUAGGAAGGAUGUUGAGGGGAAACAUAAUUUUGCAAUUGCUUAUUUUACCGUUCAACUUACCACUGACACAACAAAUAUUCUUAAAACUGAAGACUUACCUCCUACUUCCUCAUCACCGUCGUCUCUGCUUGACUGAAUUGCUUCUGCUGCUCUGCUGCAUGUGUGCUGUGACGGUGGCUCCACCCCCCGAGGAGAGGAGCCACACAACAUGAGUUCAUAAAGGUGGCGCCAUCUGCUUGAUAGGUAGCACAAUAUCGGCUAUAUCGGCCGUCUUUUUGGCCGAUGGCCGAUAGCCGAUAGUGUUAAUGACCCCAAUAUCGGCCGGCCGAUAUAUCAGUCGGGCCCUAGUUUUUAACGAACAUUCUCACAACGAAGAUGAAGAUACUACAAGUAAAGUACUAGAUAAAUGUUACGAGAAAUACUUUGAACUUAAGUCCAAAAUGUAAAAGCAGGAAUGACAUUAAUUUUAAACGAGGUUAUUUUUGCUUCGGACAUGAAGGUGUUUCGAGUUACCUUGACAUGUUUUGACCGUCGUCUGCGGUCUUCAUCAGAAAUGUCCCAGAUGUUUGUGUGACGCGUCUUUAUCAGCUGUUCUUUUCUGAUGAAGACCGCAGACGACGGUCGAAACAUGUCAAGGUAACUUAAAACACCUUUAUGUCCGAAGCGAAAAGAAUCUUGCUUAAUGUUAAAAAAGAGGACAUAAUGAACAUUGUAAAGGAUUUACAAGAAAGUUUUGGAAAAUGUGGAGUCAAGGCUUUUCGCUGCUUGGAGAGGCUAGAAAAAACACGGGCCCAUUUCCGGAACCAUCUAGUAUUCAACCUGCGAUGCCGAGAUGAGAACAUCACACCCAAGAGCAUAAACAUCAAGAACCCGAUCCCAACAAACAAUGCCAAAAAAUCAUGGAAAGAACAAAGAAAGGAUACGAUGCAUGGCCAACAAACUGGACAAGAUCAACACGCAAAUCCAGGAUCAGAAAAAAAACUUCACGGAACUAUUUCCUAGCCCGGACGAGACACAGACAGCCAUCAACAUACACCUGAAAAACACACACGAAGAGGAAUAUAUAAAAACAAAAACCCGACAAAUAAAGAAACUUGAAAACCUCAUAAACAUGAAAAAAGGAAUGAAAAGACAAGAGACGACAAACAACAAAUUGGUAUGUAACCUGUCAGCUCACGCAUUAACAGAAACUGAACAGAAAGUCUUAAAUCGAGUUUUAAACUAUGCAGUCACACCCAAACAAAUACCAAAAGAGGAGUUCAUUUUAGCUGCAGAAAUAGCAUGUAAAAAAAUAAAAGAAGAGGGGAAAAAAGCAGAGCUAAGAAAUGAUGUUGCAGGCAUUUUGAAGGCCGCAAAAUUACAUCAAAGUAACAUCACAAGAGAAGAUCAAAAAGCCAUAAAUGCUCUAAAAAAGACACAUCAGUAACAAUCCUACCAGCUGACAAAGGGAGAACCACAGUAAUAAUUGGCACGGAAACAUAUGAACAGAAGAUGCAAACAAUGUUAAAGGCAUCAACAUAUGUACUGGACAAUUCGUGUCCAUAGGCUCCAAUUAUAAGUUUUUGUGCCAAAAUGGGAGGUGGCCACCACCGCCAUUUUACCCGUGUCACAGGUUCCGCCAAGCCCAGACAAUUCCAAAAAAGGGAAAAGAGGUGGAGCUGAGGGUGGUGCUGUAAGGCUGGGAUCAAAUGACGACACCCGUCGAACUGAAGCGAUGUAGCUACAAACUAACCCAAAGCUAACUCGAAGGUGGGAGCUAGGCUAACGGAGGUAGCUACCUAACUACAACCGGAGUUACCGUAAAUCCUCUAAUACAGGCCCGGGCCUGUAUUUGACUCAAGCUCAUCAAGCUCCAGGCCUUUAUUGGAAGGAGGGCCAGAAUUAGAGGCAGGCCUCUAUUUCUAUUUGAGCAAAAUGAACUAAUGGUUCGCUGGAGUUUUUGACAAUUAAAAUUGCGCUCACAUUUUCAAAGUUAAACACAUUUAACAGAUGCACAGCAAAUGUUUUAUUUGUGGACGGAAAUGACAGGAAAUGUGGGUUUAGAGGUGGCAAGCGCAUGAAGAGGUGGAGGAGGAUGAGAGACAAAUUUGUCUGUUAAAAAGUCUCUUGUAUACAAAAAAACAAUAUAAACACACAAUCUUUGACCGGAUACAUAACAGGAUACCACAGAACAGCGCUACGCCCUCUGUUGUCCUGGUGGGGAAUUGCUUUGCAACACUCCCCAGGAGACGGAGAUGUGUGAGGGCAAAACAUCUCUGUCCGUGCGUGCGUGUCUCUCCCUUUUUGAGCUGACGGAGAAGCAUGAAUCAGGCUUUAGGGGAAAUGCGUAACGCACCCUUACGGAGUCGCAUAGACCACUGAACAUGGUAGGAGGAUGGCACCCAAAAGAAACUAUCUGUUUGGAGCAGAGAAAAGAAAGACAAAGAAACUGAAGGAAGAGAAAAACAAAACAAAGGUACGUUUUCAAGCCCAAUAAUCUAUUUUUUUUUUUUUUUUUUUGGUCAUGAUUAACCAGGCCGUUGGUUCAGUUUAUCAGUUUGGUUAGCUAACUGGCUAGCUUUGCAGCCAAGUGAGUGCUAAUAUUGUGAGCUACUGUAGAAAAAACAUCUGUUAAAAUAUUGACAAUAGACAUCGGUUCAAAAUGAUCCGGUGAACAGUUAAGUAUUGAAUUUUACUCAUGGCCUGUAUGAUAUGAAAACUUAAGCUGUAGCCAAGCAGGUUGUAAUGUGGAACUAUUACAUCCCUCAGCUCGCUAGGAGUUAUGUUUGGUGAGGGAGCAAUAAAGUUUGUGUGUGGGUUUAAUACUAAAGCAGUAAAUGUGUCCAACAAAGGAUUUUUAUUAAACAAAACAAAGAGCUGGUAUAUAGAUAAGGAAAAACGGACUAACAAAAAGCGCCAAGCCAAAAGGGUUUGGGAAGAGGGAAACUAGUUAACUGAAAUACUCUUAAGCCCCCUUCAGACAGGCCAUGAAAAACGGAAAUGUUCCGGAAUCUGUCCGUAAGACCUUUCUGUCUGAAUACAAACAUCCGGAUAAUGUGUUCCGGAAUUUAUCCGGACGAAGCCCCUAGUAACAGGUCCAGACUUGUUACGGACAGGGUGGCUGAUUCAGACUGGUGAGGUAAAGUUCUGGACAAGAGGGAGGGGGAGGAGGGGGGGACCGGGGGACGCUGUGCGCACCUAUAUAGCCCGCUGCUGUAGCAUGCGGCGAACCACGGCAGCUCGCCUCCUACGGUACCGCCUAGACGCGCGACGGAGCGCUUCACACCGCUUCAGUGAUUCCUUUAACCAUUGAGCUUCAUCAUCCAGGUCUCUUAUGCGUCUUCGUGUGCGCAGAAUUAUGCUUAAGCGCCUCGUGAUUUUUAUCUUGAGAGGCGCUAUAGAAACGAUAUUUUCUUCUUCUUCUUCUUAACAUAAGUCCGAUUCUCCCCACCCCCACUCCACCCCCCCGCUGCCGUCAGACAUCUGGAACUUUUCCCUGCUGUGUGAACGCAGCCGAAAGGACAAGUUCCGGUACAAAAGUGGUGUGUCUGAAAACACAGUUCCGGUUAAAAACCGGAUUGAAUUGUCCGCAAAUGUUCCAGAAUGUCUAUCUGAAAAGGGCUUUACGAUAAUCCUAAACAAAACGGGAGCCGUCCUGAAAAGCAGUGACGCUCGGGCAAAGACAGUCGAAGUCGGGGCCGGUCUAAGGUCUAUCCAAAAGUCAAUCCGAAUCUAAGUUUACUAACGAACGAAGCUAACUCAAUGAGCACUACGAGGAGAAGAGAAAAGAGUGAACACUUCCGUGCCCACACUUCCCCGUAACUUCCUCCCAGACUGAGGGCAAGAGAGCAGCUUUUAACAGCUGAUCCAUGAUUGCCCAUUACACACAGCUGAGCGGAAGACAGACGAGGCAAGAGCCACUGAGGCCAUUUUGUGGCCGCAAAGGGGCAGAGCACGUAACAGGAACAGGUAUUUAAGCUUGGCUAUACCUCUGCGUCAUAGUGAUCUGUCCGCAGUCCGUCGCGAACGAAACGGCUCUCAGCCGGCUCGUUGAUGUGACCGAUAACAGCCGACUCCCUCUUGGAGGAUCUGGCUCCCGUGACAGACUGUACCUGCAGGCCCUGGAGCCGUUAAAAAUAGGCAAAAUGCAUGCAUGGCGCGCAUGCACAUACACAGCUUGCAGCUGAUUGCCUUGAGACCGGGAUAGGAGGGUGGGGGGAUGCUGCGCUCCUUCGAUGUGCUGAAAGCAGGGAGGUGGGUGCCACAAAAUGACUUGAAGGCACUUAUUACAUUAACUGAUGGGAGCUGUAAAUAUAGGUGGGGCAGAUUUGCAAAAAAGGAGAAAGGAACAAACAGCUCUACAGAAAGACGAGGAAAUAAGUGAAAACAGGACAUGCAGGUAGAUUUGGACACAUUUUAACUACAGUAACAAAAGUGUGUAUGAUUAAGGAUAGGAAAUGGAAGUUGUUUAUUAACUAGGUCUAUGCCCAUGUGUAACAUUUUGCAGGAGCGCUUCUGAAGUAUUUUGAAGCAAAAGCAGCACAAUCUGUUGAAGCAAGUAGCGGUGCUUCCUCAGUUGAAGACACUGCAAGUUCAUCCUCUGUAUGGCUGUCGGCUUUUGAGAGUGGAGAGCACCUGCCAGCAGCCAAGAGCCAGAAGAAGAACCUACCAACAGCUGGGAGCGAGAAGGGGCACUUACCAGCAGCUGACAGUGAGGAGCACCUACCAACAACAGCAUCAACUAGUCUGGAUUUUUCAACAUCAACUGCUGUACCAGGAGUAGAUGCUGCACCUUCCACAAAUUCCAGUCAUCAACAUGGAUUUGCAUCUCCAGUUGACCCACCUGACUGGUCUCAUAUGUUGUCUGACUCAGAAAGGACUGAUCUGGUAAGCAGAAGACCAUUUUCUGUAAGGGAAAACUUUAGUUCCCAAAGAAGCCUGAUGGCCGAAGCUUUCACUUUCACUACACAUAAACAGUUGGUAAAUGGGGAAAAAAUGAAAUGAAGUUGGCUCACCUACUCAAAAAGAAAGGAUGCAGUCUACUGCUUCUCUUGUAAACUGUUCUCCAAAAAGUCAACAGAGGGACCGUGUGACUGGGUCAACAUAGGUGCACUGCUUAAACAACAUCACUCUUCAACUGCUGUUAAGGUGUAUGUCUCUAAGUUUUGUGCAUUUAGGUCUUCUAUACUUGUUUAAUAUUUUGUUAAUAUUUUUUGUAAAUAGAUAAUGUCAAUGUCAUUUUGUUUUGUUUUGUAAUGAUUGCACAUUUCACAUUUUACACGUUAAAUUAAUAACAAGAUAUUAAACCUAACUUUUUUUUACAGUAAAGUCGGUGUUUGCCUGCUUAUGUUACUUCCAAAUACUUAAGUUAGUAAGCCAUAUUCAACACUGCAUUUCAAAACACAAACUAAAUUGAAUAUUUUUGUCAGAUUGCUCCAUGUUUACUAUUAAAAUUAAUAGUCAUAAAAACACCUUUAUGAUAUUAGCCAAUUACAAAUUUUGCUAAUGAUAGUGAGUAUGUUAUACACAUUAUAUUGCCUAUGAAUGAUCAUUUGAUUAUUGAGCACCUGCACUAUAGGGGCCCCCAAAUUAAAAUCUGCUCAGGGCUCCAAAGAGGCUUGGGCCGGCCCUGAAAUCGACACACCUUCAUGUCUGAAGUGAAAAGAACCUUGCUUAAUAUUAAAACUAGGGGACAUAAUGAACAUUGUAAAGGAGCAGGAAUGACACGUUUGGUGCUAUGGGGGUUAGCAUAACUGCAUUCCAAGCAUUAGCCUGACCCGUGUUGGGUUCCCAGCCUACGCAGGUGUUUUUGGUCCCAGAAAAGUUGUUUUCAGUGUGAGUGGAUUUGACUAUCAGAUCAUUCUAAACUAUCAUCAGCUGCCUUGUACUUUUGACAGAAAGAAGUAAAAUAAGUAUUCAAUCAGAGCAGGUUGAAGUAAAGGAUUUUUCAUGUGGCCAAAACAGCGGUAAUAAACAGGUCUCACCAGUGUAACCUUUAACUCUUAAUGGAAGAAGAAAGAGUUUUCAUAGAGCGCCUCUCAAGGUAAAAGCCACGAGACACUUCACUCAAAACAAUAAAAACACAAUUAACAAGAAUCAUAAUAAAAAAUGGGGAGAAAAGGAAAAACAGAUUAAAAUGGGAAGAAAAAUGGUAAUCAUGGGAUCCCAAAGAGAACGGACAAACAGCAGCAUGAAGAGGAGGUCCCACCAAAGCCUGAACAGGUGUGUUUAAAGGAGACCACUGAGUCCACUGGUCUCAGGCGGAGAGAGGUCCAGAGUCUGGGGGCCACAGCAGGAGAUGGUCUGUCACCUUUGACCUUUAGCCUGGUGCUGCACAACCAGUAGGCUUUGGUCACUGGACUUCAGGGACCUGCUGGUUCAGAGUCAGGUUCUACUUUUCUUGCAUGCCACAGACAGAGACAUAAUUCCUCUGAAAGCAUCUCUAAGAAACCCUGAAACAAACUCUGUGUCGUGGCUUUAGGCUCUGAGGUUUUAGGUUUCACUUCCUGCUUCGGUCCGAUUCACAGAAUUAAACCUUCUCUGACCCAAAAACAUACAAACCUGCCUUACCGCAGCUGGAGAGCCCAUAGAGCGUAGGGAGUUUUGUUGUGGAGAAAACUUAACAGAAUGUGUGUGUGUGCGCGCGCGCGCCAGACUCUAGUCUGACUUGUUUGUGUCUUU